UACAGAGGGUGCGGGCGUUAAUCGGAAUUACUGGGCGUAAAGCGUGCGUAGACGGUCGCGUAAGUCAGAUGUGAAAGCCCCGGGCUCAACCUGGGAACUGCAUUUGAGACUGCUCUGCUCGGGUGCGGAAGAGGGAAGCGGAAUUUCCGGUGUAGCGGUGAAAUGCGUAGAUAUCGGAAGGAACACCAGUGGCGAAAGCGGCUUCCUGGUCCGACACCGACGUUCAGGCACGAAAGCGUGGGGAGCAAACAGG
rnacentral:rRNA from 1 species